GGACUGCCAAAAUUUGGUGCUCUGCCUAGGUUUACUUGAUGGCGACAAAAACCCAGGACGAACUGGAGGUGUGGACUCCAAGGUCUGCGCUCCCUCCGAUCGUUGGACAUAAGGAAUUGCCCCUUCCCAGACUCCUUGGAACGCCUCUAUCUUCGGGGCGCGGUGGGCACGGCGACGCUGCUGCCUGUCUCAAACCUCACCUCUCUCACAGAUUUAAUCAUUUGGGGAUGUGGGGAUUUAAGAGGCGAGGGACUGCGGCCUCUCCUCGCCCAAGGUCAUCUCACCAAUUUGACCGUUCGCGGAACCCCAAAUUUCUUCGCUGGUUUCGAGCCCUCACCGCCGCAUGAACAAGAGCUCCCACCCUCUUCCUUCAAACUGAAGGAGCAUUGGACGGAUGACGCCGCGGGUCUCCUUGCUGCGCCCAUCUGGGCCUUGCUCUCUUCCUCGCUCACCGAAUUGCACUUUGAAUGGGACAGAGAGGAGGAGCGCUUUUCAAAGGAGCAAGAGGAGGCACUUCAGCUCCUCAGCUCCCUCGAUAGGAUCGGAUUUUGGGAGUGCGACAAGCUGCAGCGCCUCCCCGCAGGGCUGCAUAGACUUCCCAACCUCAAGAGAUUAGUCAUCGUAAGUUGUGCAGCUAUCCGGUCGCUGCUCAAGGAUGGCCUCCCAAGUUCUCUGCAAGAGUUGGAGAUCUGCUUCUCUCCAGGCAUCCGCUCGGUGCCCAAGGAGUGCCUCCCAAGUUCACUGCAGAAACUAGUGAUCAUAGACUGCCCAGCCAUCCGGUCGCUGCCAAAGGUGGACGACCUUCCAAGUUCACUGCGAGAAUUGGAUGUCCGUGACAGCAGCGAGGAGUUACGAAGGCACUGCCGCAAGUUGAUAGGAACCAUUCCUAUAGUCAGAGUCUGAUUAAACCAAGGUAACAAGGUGGUGGAACUUCGUACCCACCAAUUUCCCUUGCUUUCCAUAACCCUAUAAUCAUUAGUCAUUCUCCUUUUGUUUAUUUGAUUACAGUUAUGGUUUCCUUCCUAAUAACCUACUUGUUUUCACCAACUACGCAGGGCUAUCGUUCGAAUUGAUACAUUCUUCUAACUUCUGGAUUCUCAUUGUAUGUAUACACGAUUCUGAGUUUUCAAGAAUGAACAUCUCAGGAUGUUCCUAACACCCUGUACAUAAAACUGCAUCUACAUGCCUAUUUCAAUUCCAAAGAGAAUGGAGCUAGGAUCAAUUGCUUUCAUACUAUCGCUUCUAGAUCAUCUCUGUUGAGGCCUAUUAACUAACAUAAGAACUAUGCUGAGAUCAGAUUAUACUGGUUCAAGUGCACAAGAGAAUAUCAAGACUUUAAGAUGUACAUCUUCUAGUCUCAUUGAAUCUUUCUGAAACCACAUUGUUGCCCACAAGGAGUUCAGGUGCGUCUUCCGGCUUUUAGGAAAUCCUUUGCCCAAGGUAACUAUGCUAUAUUUCUUCUUUUUUUGACAGAACAGGAGGGGAAUAAUCCCCUACUGAUUAUAUAUUAAAAAAGAAAGUGUUACAAAGAGUUACAAAGGGAGUAACAGGAAAAAAGAAAAGAAAAGAAAAAGGCAACUAAGAAUUACAGCAUAGCAUCUAGCCAUAACACUAUCCCUGGGAAGUAUUUCUGCUUAGCCCGAUGAAGCAUCAGGGUAAACUCCUUCCUGAACUUGGCUUUGCACUUAUUUAAGCUUGCAGCCUGAUUAUAAAAAAUGAGCCCAUUUCGAACUGCCCAGAUACUCCAGGACAUUUCUUAUUGUUGCCAUCUCUCCUUGAAAAAAAUAUAUGUUGGACUGUUCUCUUGCUAUUUUGGACAUUCAGAAAAAAGAUUGCUUAGUGCCCACAGCUUUAGCAAUGAUGGAAUAUGAAUUGCUUUUAAACAUGAUGGCCAAUCUGGUAAAUCCUUCUAAUUUUAAUGCUUUUAAACUGUCAUUAAUACAGCACACAUCCUUAAUAUAUCUGGCUAUCAACGUGAAAGAAAAGAAAUUUACCAUUGAACAUGCCCCUAGAUUGCACCCCUGGUUUUAGUUAUCAUUUGCAUUGAACUGUUACUCUGUUAAUCUCUUUUAUUUCAAAAAAAAACUCUGUUAAUCUCUUUACAGCUACAUAAGCUUUUGAACUGACUGGAACUAUCCAGGGCACAAGUCAUUUAGAUUUCCACUUUUGAGUUAUAAUUAGACUUGUUUCUAAAUACUCUGCUUCCCUUUUUGAGAGUGUACAUGGAAAUUUCCUUUACAAGUUUGUUAAUGGUUUCUUCAAUGCAGUAAACAUUGAUAGGAAAAGUACAUCUCAGAAGACAACCAUCAUGGAACUCCAUAGUUUUGUAGGUCAUUUCCUGGAAAGCUUCACAUGGCAGCGGAGUAUAUUUUGUCACAAAGGUUUAAGUGAUUCGUUCAAGCAGGUUUAGCACUGCACUAGCCACUAUGUUUGCUGGAGCAAUUUCUGAUGUUUCAACUCCUCGUCUGUUAUUGUCUUCCUUCUUCCCUCCAACGACUUGGCUGCACCCUAUGCAGGUCAAUUUGGCAUCUUAAGCAGAUGCGAGGAUAAUCCUCCUUGAAGAACAGAGAGAAUUAUGAUUUCCGCUGGAUUGGAGAGUUCUAUGGUUUUUCCAUGUCAAUAUAGCCUUGGAAAAUUCUCGAUCAUUCAUGCAGUUUUCUGCAACUUGUCUUGUCAGUAGCUAAAAUUGUAUUUUGGCCAUUGGCUCUGAUAUGCAAGACUAAUGAUCAUUCUGUAGUGUAUUCACUUGUGCCGAAGUAUAAUUCUGAAAGAAGACAUGCAGAGUCAAAGUGACGAAAACACAUGCUGUUGUAACAUUAUUGCCAUCAUAUUUUUUUUUCGAAACUUCAGUUAACCAGUCGAAAUUCAGAAGCA